rnacentral:lncRNA from 1 species
GGGGGCCGGGCUGGGCUGCGUGGGGUCCGUGAAACCGCGAGGUCCAGCGGGCAGCGCGGGGACUGUGGCUCCGAGCCCGGGUGGCACCGCGACAGUCGCGUCCCGGGGGCCUCGUCCUCGCCACCUCCCCGCUGCGGGCCGGGGCACUCGGGGCUUCCUGCCCUCAGAACUGUGCCCUGGGUGUGCACGUGGGGCCGAGGGUCCCCUGGCCUGGGCGAGGGUGCAGGGACCCGAAACUGGGUGACUCUUCCCGGUCCCGGUGUGGCUGUCCUGUAACCAUGACGACUGCGGGCUUUGGCACGUGGAUGUGGAUGCAGAGCCUGAAGGCAGGGAUUGGGCAGGUGGUGCAGGGUGAGGGGCCCCUGGGGACGGACCUGCUGGGAGCUGCAGCUGCCCCGAGCUGGGCUCCCUGUGCGUGGUGACAGGGCCUUUGCAGCUGGGGACCAGGUGAUGGACGGUCAGGGGCGGGGAGGGGCCUUGUCCGUGGGCAGGGAGCACAGGAAGUCGAUGUGGGCGAGAUAGGAAGAGCUGAGAGGCCGCAGAGGCGUUAAAUGGCUCCGACUGACUGGGCGGCCACACUCGGAUGGAAUUUACCCAUUUAGGAAGUUUCCCACUUCAGGACAGGACGUUUGUCGAACACCUGUUGUGUCCCAUGUGCUUUGUACAGUAGCAGGAUUAAUAAUCCUUGCAAUGGCCCCCACAUGUUAUUACUCUCUUCUUGAUGCAAGAGGGAGCACCCAAGGUUUACAGUGUGUUGUCCCACUUUGGCUUUCUGUUCUAAACAGUUACAGCUCCGGAAACUCAUGUUGAUAGCUAGAUGGACUAAGCAGCCACCCUCAUUCUAAAGCUGAGGAUAGAGGGUCUGAGGUGUGGACUGCGGAGACCCUGGGUAGCAGAGUUCUGCCUGCAGGGGGUCUCUGUCGGCCACCUCAGAAAACAGCUCCCACCGAGGUGAAGACCUUUCCAGCUCCGGGGUGUGGCUGUCCCCCGAAUGGAGCGUCUCUGUGCAGGGCACGCAAGGCCUCGGGGCAUGUGGAGUCCCCGGAACUGGAACGUGUGGGCAGCGUGGGUGACCUGUGCUUGCACAGGCCUCGUUGUGUCUGUCACCUGUUGGAUCACAGGCGCUCCGACCAGGUCUGCACACCAGGAAGCAAAGGAACAUGGCUCAUUCCCAGGGAAUCCAGGAGCGUGCAGAGACUCCUGAAGAGAGCCGGGGAUUGUUGUCUUAGACGUCACUGUGAGGAUUGGUGGGGACCGUCUGCUGUCCAGGUUUUACAGAGGGCAGGAUUCUGGCAGAAGCUCGGUGCCUGGGCAGGAACACUGUGCUCACAUGUGUGCUUGGUAAGCCUUCCGCGAACCCUGGUGCAGGUCAGAGGUCCCUACCUCACCCUGCCCACGCUGCUGUGGAUGGUGCAGCCUUCUGCUAUCGGGUCACCGUCAGCUGCCUCUUCCCUAGUUUGGGAAAUGGUGCUUGGAUUCCUGUCCCUAAAGGCAUUAGUGUCCAGUGGACCGUCACUUCCCAUCCCAUGCACUCCCACGCUGCUGGAUGGGGCAGCCUUCUGCUAUCGGGUCACCGUCAGCUGCCUCUUCCCUAGUUUGGGAAAUGGUGCUUGGAUUCCUGUCCCCAAAGGCAUUAGUGUCCAGUGGACCGUCACUUCCCAUCCCAUGCACUCUCUCCGGGACAGCACAUGCAAAAAUAGCCCCAGGUUUCCUUUCCCCGAGAAUUUAAAAGUCCUACAGCCUGCAUCUGCUGUCAGCAACGACCGCCCUUUGCUCAUCUGCAGUCCUGUGUUUGGUCCAAGCAUUGGACAUGAGGACUGCAUUUCCCUUUCUUCCUUUACGCAGGAGCAUGUUGAAUGCAUGUGCUUUCAGUAGACGAUGUGUCGGUAUCAGCAAGGCCAAAUGUCUCACAAAUGUUUCCCGUCACCAGACAAACCGUGGCCUGCGCCUGAGGACACACGUGGGUCUGCAGCUGCUGCGCUGUCCGCGUGCGGCGGUGUGCGAUGACCUUUCCUUCCCCGGGAGCCCUCCGUGACCCCUCCACCCCACGAAGCUCCUUCGCCCCUCACCUCCAAUCGCUGCAUGUCCACCCAGGCGAGGCUGCCUGGAGCGACACUUGCCACCUGCAUCCUCCCUGUGAAAGCUCUGUCUCCCAGGCACCGAGGCCCAGGCCUGCUCCCUCCUGCCCGCGAGGCUGUAUCUGGAGGAAAAGGCCGAACGCUGUCAUCUCGGUCUCUGUCUCCGUAUUCCCCGCACGUAUGGCCACGACCCUUUCUGGCUGCAGACGCUCCCCACUGCUGUCUAAGCCCUGCUUAUGCCCUAAAUGAGAAGCGGACCUCUCAGAGCCCAGCACUCCACUCCUCGUGCUCCUCCCAGCGGCCCCGAGGCAGGGGCGGAUUCCAGUCACAACCAAACCUCAGCGUCUGCUUCCAGUGGCUGCGACUUCACACAACGUUUUGCCGCUCCAUUCUGUGCGAAGGAAACCCCAUUUCCACAAUCCCCUACUCAGAAUUCUAUGCUAAGAUUUUAAAUUUGAGAACAAUUGAGCAGUCAGUUUUCUAACUCAGUCAGCUUUGGUACACUCAUGUUGAGGUGACACUUUUGUGCCUUCAGCACUUGUGCCUUUUACACAAGUAACAAACCCCAGUGCCUGAUGCCACUGACAUCUAGUGAAUUAACACCAGUAUCCUGAUUUUUUCCAUGACAUAAGAACAGGUAUUGGUUGUUGAAGCUUGAUAAGUUAGGACACAGAAUGCGGAUUUUAUUCCAUAGGAGAUGGGAACCGCCGGAAGACUGCAGCUGCACAGUAACUAAGGAGGGACUCAGUGCGUCAGGAAGGUGGCCUAGGGAUCGUUUUCAAGGAGAGCAACUAAGGAAGCCUAGGCGUAAGUGUGCUAAGGGCCGGGCUGCUGCAGCACUGAUGAGGACAGAAAAGGAGACUGGAGAAUUAGAAGGAAGAAUUCCCCAGAAGGUUAUGUCAUAUUUGCCUGCUGUUGAUUUGCCAUUUUCCCUGCUGCACAUUUGAAGGGUCCUUGCUCUCACGGAAACUUCGACCUCAGCCCGACAUGGGCUGUCUUACCUUUCUGGCAGAACCUGGUGCGUACAUCUGAACUGCACACCCUCACUGACCUCAGACUUCUCACUGCCUGUCCAUGGCUUCUGAAAUCCAUCGUGGAGCACGCAGCACCUCCCGCAGUGUCAGGUCUCGGGUCAUGCUGGCCUCCACAGGAUGGGGAGGUCCCCUCGUCCUUCCUGCUGGAGGAAGAUAGCUAUUUCAGGGAGGCAGAGUCUGUGCAGACUCCGACUUCCAGACUCAUGCCAUGGAACCAGGAAGGGAAGCCAUGCCUCUGCGUACUCAGUGUAAGCGUGGAAGAGUGGACAGAUAUCUGUUGCUACUCAUCUCUAACAUUUGGUGAGGCAUUGCUCGGGCUACUCAUCCUGAGUGGAAUUCCUUCCCCUUCUUUCCUUAGCAGUUUGGUAUCCUGAUUUUCAGAAACCAGUUCAGACUUCAUCUCUGCCAGAUACCAAUCCAGAAGACGUAAAUCCCGAACCUAUAGUCACACAUCUCUCACCUUCACGAAGACAGUUUAGUUUAAAUUAUUUUCUGUGGCAAAUUCAUCUCCUCAGAAAGCCUGGAGCAGACGCUGAGGUCCAGGUCUCCCCUCCUUUCUCCUCGAAGCCCUUCAUAGCAAUCGUUACUGCUGCUAAUGAAAUAGCAAAUCUAAGGAGAGCUUUGGGAGCUGAGAUUAGGAUCCUGAGGCAUAUGUAGAGCUAGAAAUAGCACUUUGUGUACAUAAGUAAUGGCGUGGCUUCUCAGGCACUUUUUCCUCAGUGUUGGUCAUGCAUAAUCAGCGGUGGUGGGACAAUUAUCUCUUUCUCAGACAAAAACAUCUAAAUAUGCCUUUAAGGUAUCAAUAGUGUUUUAGUUUUUUAAAAUGUGUUAUGACAAUGAUGAAUUUUUUAUCAUCAUACUAGUAAGCUAAUGAGCUAUGAAAAUUCUCCAAGCACUCUAUUUUGCCUCUUUGUUACCAGUUUAUAUAUGCUUUAGAUUAUCUGCAUUCAAAAGGCCAUCUCCUAAGGGCCAAAUCUACUGCAUGAAAGUAGCAUACCGCAGUUCAGAAAGCAGAAUUCCGAAGCUCAGUGUCACAGCCUGCCUGCACCGAACAUCCACACGCAACUCUGGAAUGCCUCCAGCAGUGCAUGUUUUGUUAAAACUUGUUUAACAGAACUGGUAACAGAGGGUUUUUUGUUUGCUUCUUUGUUCAUUUUGUUUAAUUCUAGUAGUGGAAACAAUUGGUGUGUAGCCCUGACCAGCUGAUCUCAGGAUACCUAUUUGGAAAUCCCUCUGAUUGGGAAAAUAGUAAUAAUAAAAUAUGUUUUGUCUAGUUUGCCUCAUGGACUCAUGGCAUUACAGAACAACACAAACAAAAAGGCCCAGA